CUGGCUCAGAUUGAACGCUGGCGGCAUGCCUUACACAUGCAAGUCGAACGGUAACGCGGGGCAACCUGGCGACGAGUGGCGAACGGGUGAGUAAUAUAUCGGAACGUGCCCAAUUGUGGGGGAUAACGUAGAGAAAUUUACGCUAAUACCGCAUACGAUCUAAGGAUGAAAGCGGGGGAUCGCAAGACCUCGCGCAAUUGGAGCGGCUGAUAUCAGAUUAGCUUGUUGGUGAGGUAAAAGCUCACCAAGGCGACGAUCUGUAGCUGGUUUGAGAGAACGACCAGCCACACUGGGACUGAGACACGGCCCAGACUCCUACGGGAGGCAGCAGUGGGGAAUUUUGGACAAUGGGCGAAAGCCUGAUCCAGCAAUGCCGCGUGCAGGAAGAAGGCCUUCGGGUUGUAAACUGCUUUUGUACGGAACGAAACGGUCUGCCCUAAUACGGCGGGCUAAUGACGGUACCGUAAGAAUAAGCACCGGCUAACUACGUGCCAGCAGCCGCGGUAAUACGUAGGGUGCGAGCGUUAAUCGGAAUUACUGGGCGUAAAGCGUGCGCAGGCGG
rnacentral:rRNA from 1 species